UAGUAACUCUGAUAUUGGCCUGGUUCACUCAGACACAUAUUAUUUUGAUUGAUUUUACUUUUGAUUGAGCCGUGUCAAUAUCUCAGUUCCUUUU
rfam:Solanum lycopersicum cultivar Heinz 1706 chromosome 2, whole genome shotgun sequence.